rnacentral:misc_RNA from 1 species
GAAUAUAAAAUAAGAGAGGUCUAAAUGAUGAUGAUUAUUAAUAAUUAUUUUAUUACAAUUGUUGUUAUCAUAGCUUGUCAAGUCUUCUAAGACUUUCCACUAGAAAUGCAACAAAUGAACUGUCAAGGUGAUAAAAAAAAGUCUAUUAAAUGCAUGCAUCAGUCUAAAACAUAGUUGCCUAAUUUGCUCUCUUACAAAUCACGAUCUGG